GAUGAACGCUAGCUACAGGCUUAACACAUGCAAGUCGAGGGGUAACGAGAGGAAAGCUUGCUUUCCUUGUCGACGACCGGCGCACGGGUGAGUAACGCGUAUCCAACCUGCCCCCAACUAGGGAAUAACCUUGCGAAAGUAAGACUAAUACCCUAUAAUUUCCUCAGAUGACAUCUGACGAGGAGUAAAGAUUUAUCGGUUGUGGAUGGGGAUGCGUCUGAUUAGCUUGUUGGCGGGGUAACGCCCCACCAAGGCAACGAUCAGUAGGGGUUCUGAGAGGAAGGUCCCCCACAUUGGAGCUGAGACACGGUCCAAACUCCUACGGGAGGCAGCAGUGAGGAAUAUUGGUCAAUGGGCGGAAGCCUGAACCAGCCAAGUAGCGUGCAGGAUGACGGCCCUAUGGGUUGUAAACUGCUUUUAUACAGGAAUAAAGUUAGCCACGUGUGGUUAUUUGUAGGUACUGUAUGAAUAAGGACCGGCUAAUUCCGUGCCAGCAGCCGCGGUAA
rnacentral:rRNA from 1 species